rnacentral:rRNA from 1 species
GAUGAACGCUGGCGGCGUGCCUAAUACAUGCAAGUCGAGCGAACAGACGAGGAGCUUGCUCCUCUGACGUUAGCGGCGGACGGGUGAGUAACACGUGGAUAACCUACCUAUAAGACUGGGAUAACUUCGGGAAACCGGAACUAAUACCGGAUAAUAUAUUGAACCGCAUGGUUCAAUAGUGAAAGACGGUUUUGCUGUCACUUAUAGAUGGAUCCGCGCCGCAUUAGCUAGUUGGUAAGGGAACGGCUUACCAAGGCAACGAUGCGUAACCGACCUGAGAGGGUGAACGGCGAACAGGGAGUUGAGACACGGUCCAGACUCCUACGGAAGGCAGCAGUAGGGAAUCUUCCGCAAUGGGCGAAAGCUUGACGGAGCAAGGCCGCGGGAGUGAUGAAAGUCUUAGGAUCGUAAAACUCUGUUAGUAGGGAAGAACAAAUGUGUAAAUAACUAUGCACGUCUUGACGGUACCUAAUCAGAAAGAAACGGCUAACUACGUG